ACCUGCUUUCAAUAUACUUUGUAUCCCUCAUUUACUCAUGUGUUUCCAUUAUUUUGGCAGUUACACGUAUGGUCUGUGCCAGGUGUUUGUACUAAUCCCUGAGAUACUCUCCAAGUGUCACUAAAAACACUGCCACACUCUCUGUCUGCAGGGCACUGGAGAUGCUAACCGUUAACAAAUUAUUUAAUCCCAUAGGCCUACAGAUCAGAUCUGCAUCACAGAAUUAGCUAACGCUAAUUGUGCCUGGUUCAUUAUAGCCCCAUUAGUCUUGAGGCUAGUUCCUUUUAAUGUGGGUUAACCUUCUAAUUCGACCUAAGGUCUUUAAAGUUUUGUAACACUCACAACACUCACUCACUGUCGUAUAUGUUUUACUGUCUGAUGAAGUGUUGUAUUUAUUUAUGUGUAUUAUUUACAAUUUUGAGGUAAAGGGUAAGUACUGUGAUAUGAAAUAUAUGAGUUAUCCCACCAAUAGCACACACUUUUCUGUCCUUAAAACGCAACAAACAAAUAAGCAGCUCACAGCCACGAGUGUUGCCACUGAUCUAUGUGUAACCUCCCUUCAUGACACAGUACAACAUUUCUGAUACAUUAUCUUUAAGAGGAUAAAUCCUUUAAUGACCGAACCCUGAACCCGACUUAGAGCGCAUAAGGUUCUGGAAAGGAUCCAAAUGUUGGCAGGGGAAAACGUUAGUGAUUUAACAUCACCAGCCUAAUGCCUAAGCCCUGCGGUGGUGUUGUUAUAUGAAGCAUGUCACUGAAAUAUCUGAACUCAGCAACCCGAAAAUAUGCUCUUUCAAUUAGAUCAAACGAUUUCCUUAGAAGAAAGGAAAGAAAAGAAGAAACAGUAUGUUUUCUGUGUUUCAUCUGGUCUCUUUUCUCUGGCGGACUGAAAGUCAGAGAUCAACGUUGUUGUUUUGCUUUCUCCUCUGGUUUAAAUGGCACUCCAUGGGAGUUGACAGACAAGGAACAGCUAACAGGUUUCUCCUCUGGUUUAAAUGGCACUCCAUGGGAGUUGACAGACAAGGGAACAGCUAACAGGUUUCUCCUCUGGUUUAAAUGGCACUCCAUGGGAGUUGACAGACAAGGAACAGCUAACAGGUUGAUCUGGCUGCGGAACAAACAGGAAAACGAGCCAAUGCUACGUGGGGCGGCAUAAAGAGAUGGAUGAGGACAUUCUACGGAUGUAGAUUAACCGUUUAAUCCGUUUGCUUGGCGGAGAUGCUGACAUAGAAGCAUGAACAUAAUAAACCAAUUUGUUUUCA